GUGAUCUGCCCCCCGCCGGCCUUCCAGUGUUAAUCGUCCAAAACAUAGUCGGAGUAACGGGAUUCACCCGGUGGGCCGGUCGCCCUGCGGCCCCUGAACAGCCCUGAAGAGCAGCAGCAGCUGAUCAGUAGGACAGAAGACUACAGGGAAAAAGGAGCUUGUGGGUUUGGAUAAUGUGAGCCGGCUGUUUUUAUUGAAACACCGACGCUCUCGUCAGCGUCACUUUUUCUGAACAGACCAAUCACAGCCUGGAUGGAGCGGGAUUAAAAAAAGUUUGAUGUGCUGCAACAAACUUUAUAAAUGUUGAAGUCUGUUCUGCAUAAACGGUUCUGAUUACUGACUAAAAUCAAGGCUCAUAACAGCAAUAAAAAACAACCCCAGACUGAAGCAGCUGUAAUUUGAAUUAAUAUUAUACUAGUGGAAAGUUACAUUAUACACAUAAUUAAAUUACCAGCGGUGAACGCAAAGCAUUUUGGGAAUCCGCGGCACAAACAUAAUGUGCCAGACGUGACUGCAUGGAGGGAAGACGGCGGCGUUGAAGAUGGCGUCCACCUGCUGUGUUAUAAACUAAUAUUCGUUCUCAUGAUGGAAGCUGAUAAAGCUUAAGAACAGAAUAUCAUUAAAAAAAAACAAUAGUACAAGCCACGUCCACGUUUCAGAGGCGGCGAAUGGCGUGUGAUGGUGCGUUCAGAGCUUUUUCACAAAGGCGGUGAAACGUUGAUCCCGAUCGGGCCCCUUCUCUGUACCUCGGCCACACUGAGGUCAAAGCUACGAACGCAGACCAGUUCAAGCGGUUUAGGAGAAGAGCGGCGAGGCGCUGAACACACCGGUCAAUGAAGCAGCACCUUUGUUCCCGGACUACUCUGCACCUGUGGCUGAGAUGGAAGGACCAGAGACUCGGCCCCAGACAAUGCAGGGACAGAGGAAGAUCUGGAAACACCAGGGUGACGGUGCUACAAUGGGGAAUGCAGAUGAACGGCAGAAAUGUGGCCUCAGGCUCAGAAGAAAUAAUCCGCUCGCAGGAGGAGAAUAGGCCGCUGAGGGGAGAGCUCUCCGAGAAGGCCCUGGAUGAGAAUGAUGCAGAGGUGACGUACUACGCUGGCCUUCCGUCUUUCAGUCUGUUGAUGGGCGUGCUGAAGAAAACUCUCCCAAACUCUCCUCCUGACCCUCAUGCGCUUAAGACUUGAUGUUGCCCACCUCUUUGACAUUAGCCAGUCCGUUCAUUGAGACAUCAGUGUUCUGCCUGCACACCUCAGAGCGACACUGUACACAGCCAAACCUGCCACAUCAGUAUGUAGAGAUGUGAGUAUUGACCGCUUCCACUGAAAGGCCAGUGAAACGUCUGAUCGGCAGAACGCCACGAGUUACUGUUUCUUUCAUUUCCACCCAGAACUGCGGCUCUCUGCUGGAGACCUGGUGUUAGCGGGCCGUGGAUUUGAUAUUAAAGCAAGUGCUACACUGAAAAGGGGGCCACAGCCAACUUAAAGCAGCAGACCAGGAUCCACGUGGAGCUCUAACACAUUAGAUGACAGUACGUCUGGGGUUUGUGGUGCCUUGUGGGGUGGGGGACAAGACUUUGACCGAUAUGUGUCCAAGUGUUGUUGUGAAGCCGUCGUGUUAGAUUUACACACCGUGCUCACAGCUAAUAUGGAAAUAUGAGUUUUUGUUUUCCAAAAGAUUUUGUAGUCACUUCUCACAUGUAAUGAUUUUUAGCCAUCUCUGUAAAUAAAAUACACAAAGACUGAA